UACAGAGGGUGCAAGCGUUGUUCGGAAUUAUUGGGCGUAAAGGGCAUGCAGGCGGUCGGACGCGUUUCGGGUGACAGCGGGUGGCUUAACUACCCGAGUGGUCGAAAGACGGUUUGACUUGAGGACGCGAGAGGGACACGGAAUUCCGGGUGGAGUGGUGAAAUGCGUAGAGAUCCGGAGGAACACCGAAGGCGAAGGCAGUGUCCUGGCGCGUAACUGACGCUGAGGUGCGAAAGCCAGGGGAGCGAACGGG
rnacentral:rRNA from 1 species